CCUACGGGAGGCAGCAGUGAGGAAUAUUGGUCAAUGGGCGCGAGCCUGAACCAGCCAAGUCGCGUGAGGGAAGACGGUCCUAUGGAUUGUAAACCUCUUUUGUCGGGGAGCAAAAGACGCCACGCGUGGCGUUCCGAGAGUACCCGAAGAAAAAGCAUCGGCUAACUCCGUGCCAGCAGCCGCGGUAAUACGGAGGAUGCGAGCGUUAUCCGGAUUUAUUGGGUUUAAAGGGUGCGCAGGCGGACGAUCAAGUCAGCGGUAAAAUUGAGAGGCUCAACCUCUUCGAGCCGUUGAAACUGGUGGUCUUGAGUGAGUGAGAAGUAUGCGGAAUGCGUGGUGUAGCGGUGAAAUGCAUAGAUAUCACGCAGAACUCCGAUUGCGAAGGCAGCAUACCGGCGCUCAACUGACGCUCAUGCACGAAAGUGUGGGUAUCGAACAGGAUUAGAUACCCUGGUAGUC
rnacentral:rRNA from 1 species